rnacentral:rRNA from 1 species
AGUGAACGCUGGCGGUAGGCCUAACACAUGCAAGUCGAACGGCAGCACAGUAAGAGCUUGCUCUUACGGGUGGCGAGUGGCGGACGGGUGAGGAAUACAUCGGAAUCUACUUUUUCGUGGGGGAUAACGUAGGGAAACUUACGCUAAUACCGCAUACGACCUACGGGUGAAAGCAGGGGAUCUUCGGACCUUGCGCGAUUGAAUGAGCCGAUGUCGGAUUAGCUAGUUGGCGGGGUAAAGGCCCACCAAGGCGACGAUCCGUAGCUGGUCUGAGAGGAUGAUCAGCCACACUGGAACUGAGACACGGUCCAGACUCCUACGGGAGGCAGCAGUGGGGAAUAUUGGGCAAUGGGCGAAAGCCUGAUCCAGCCAUACCGCGUGAGUGAAGAAGGCCUUCGGGUUGUAAAGCCCUUUUGUUGGGAAAGAAAAGCAGCAGGUUAAUACCCCGCUGUUCUGACGGUACCCAAAGAAUAAGCACCGGCUAACUUCGUG